AUAAUAUUUUGUAUUGCUUGUCUAUGUUUUGUAGAAGAUUUGGGACUUCUUGAUUUUUGUGUUUAAAAAAAUCAAAGACAUUUCCAGUUUUUAUUUAUUUAUAUCUUUUAAAAAAUGACAUUUCAAAAACAUUUUCACAUUUUUAGUUAAACUUCUUACUUUUAUAUUAUUUUCUAAAUUAUUUUCUUUUUUUAACCAUGUCACAUGUUGAAUUAAGGCUAUAGAAAAAUUGAGGAAACCGGCCAUCUGUGAUGCUAACUAGCUAUUGGAGUACAGAACCAGUCAAAACCGACAAUGAACCGAUUGGCCGAUGGUAGAAAUAUGUGAAAACCAAUAUUGGCGGUUUGAUUAUAGUGUUCAAACUACCAAACCGGCUGAUUAUGUAUAUAUAUAUAUAUAUAAUAUUUUAUAUUAUAUAUAAAAUGGCUUUUAAAAACUCAGCAAAUUAAAAUUUGAAAUCAACUAAAAACAAGUCCAAAAAGAUCUUGAAUUGAGCCAAAAAAGAUUAAAAAAUAUAUUGAAUUGAGUAAAAACAAAGGCCCAAACCAGCCAAACUAAUAGAAAAUUGGCCAGAAUUGGUCCGGCCACUUUCACCCCCUCUAUAUCGGUUGGUUUCAGCCGGUUUUCAAAAGGAAAAAUCACCGGUUGGUUGGUCUUGGUUUGGGGCCAAAAUCGAACCGAUCUAUUCAGUUUACAAUGCUAUGUUGAAUUACAUUAGUAUUUAAGACUAGUAAACUAGAAUUUGAAAGAAGUAAUUAUUGAAAAAAAAAAUGUAAAAUCAAGUGAGCGAAUUAACAAUAAGAUUAAAAUCUCAAGAAACAAAUUAAGGUGGUAUAUAUACAAUUUUAAAGCCUCAAGGUGGUAUAUAUAUAUUUCAAAGACCUAAAUUAAAGUUUAUUUAUUUGCUUAUUUAUAUAUCUGAUAUUUUAUUAAUUCGAUAUUAUUUCUUCAUUUUAGUGAUACCCAACAACAGUCCACAAACAAUUCCAAAGCCUCAAAGUGGUGUACUCCAAAAACCUGAUUUAUAGUUUAUUUAUUUGCUUAUUUAUAUUUUUGAUAUUUUAUUCAUUCGAUGUUAUUUCUUUAUUCUAGUGAUACCCAAUAACACUGAUCCACAAGCUGUUCCGAAGCCUCAAGAUGCAGUGAUAUCGAACAACACUCCACAAACAGUUCCAAAGCCUCGAGUGAUACCCAACAACACUCCACAAUCAGUUCCAAUGCCUCGAGGGAUGACCAACAUCACUCCACGAACAGAUCAGAAACCUCAAGAUGAAUCUUUCUGCCAGCGUUGCCAAAAGCACUGCUCCAUUUUGUAAAUAAAAAUAUAAAGAGCUAGUGGUACUGGAUCAUGUGAUGCAGCUAUUGCAGGAGACAAGCUGUAUAAGGUGUGAUAUUCAUUGAACAGAUAAUGUAAAAAUAGCAGUUUAGAUUCAGAGGCUUGUAAAACGUCCCUGAUUGAUCAGUUUGCUCGAUCUUCUUAUAUCAUAUAUAGUUUGAUCAGUGA